rnacentral:rRNA from 1 species
AACGAACGCUGGCGGCAUGCCUAACACAUGCAAGUCGAACGAACCCUUCGGGGUUAGUGGCGCACGGGUGCGUAACGCGUGGGAAUCUGCCCUUUGCUUCGGAAUAACAGUUAGAAAUGACUGCUAAUACCGGAUGAUGUCUUCGGACCAAAGAUUUAUCGGCAAAGGAUGAGCCCGCGUAGGAUUAGGUAGUUGGUGGGGUAAAGGCCUACCAAGCCGACGAUCCUUAGCUGGUCUGAGAGGAUGAUCAGCCACACUGGGACUGAGACACGGCCCAGACUCCUACGGGAGGCAGCAGUGGGGAAUAUUGGACAAUGGACGCAGGUCUGAUCCAGCAAUGCCGCGUGAGUGAUGAAGGCCUUAGGGUUGUAAAGCUCUUUUACCAGGGAUGAUAAUGACAGUACCUGGAGAAUAAGCUCCGGCUAACUCCGUGCCAGCCGCCGCAGUAAGAC